rnacentral:rRNA from 1 species
UCUGUUUGAAUUUUAAUCGUGGCUCAGGACGAACGCCGGCGGCGUGCUUAACACAUGCAAGUCGAACGAUGAAGGAGGAGCUUGCUCCUCCGGAUUAGUGGCGAACGGGUGAGUAAUACGUGAGCAAUGUGCCCUUGACUCUGGGAUAAGCGCUGGAAACGGCGUCUAAUACAGGAUACGACCCUGGGAGGCAUCUCCUGAGGGUGGAAAGAACUUCGGUCAAGGAUCAGCUCACGGCCUAUCAGCUGGUUGGUGAGGUAACGGCUCACCAAGGCGACGAAGGGUAGCCGGCCUGAGAGGGUGACCGGCCACCCUGGGACUGAGACACGGCCCAGACUCCUACGGGAGGCAGCAGUGGGGAAUAUUGCACAAUGGGCGCAAGCCUGAUGCAGCAACGCCGCGUGAGGGACGACGGCCUUCGGGUUGUAAACCUCUUUUAGCAGGGAAGAAGCGAAAGUGACGGUACCUGCAGAAAAAGCACCGGCUAACUACGUGCCAGCAGCCGCGGUAAUACGUAGGGUGCAAGCGUUGUCCGGAAUUAUUGGGCGUAAAGAGCUCGUAGGCGGUCUGUCACGUCUGCUGUGAAAACCCGAGGCUCAACCUCGGGCUUGCAGUGGGUACGGGCAGACUAGAGUGCGGUAGGGGAGAUUGGAAUUCCUGGUGUAGCGGUGGAAUGCGCAGAUAUCAGGAGGAACACCGAUGGCGUAAGGCAGAUCUC